UACGGGGGGAGCAAGCGUUGUUCGGAUUUACUGGGCGUAAAGGGCGCGUAGGCGGCAAUUCAAGUCAGCUGUGAAAUCUCUGGGCUUAACCCAGAACGGCCAGCUGAUACUGCUUUGCUAGAGUACAGAAGGGGCAACUGGAAUUCUCGGUGUAGCGGUGAAAUGCGUAGAUAUCGAGAGGAACACCUGCGGCGAAGGCGGGUUGCUGGGCUGAUACUGACGCUGAGGCGCGAAAGCUAGGGGAGCGAACGGG
rnacentral:rRNA from 1 species